rnacentral:lncRNA from 1 species
UUUAACAAAACACGUUCCUUUUUAUGUAUUUGUCUUUGGUGAGAUAUGAGAUUAUAGCCUUAUAGAUGUUAGGCCUACAGAUACAAGUUGAUGCAAAAUUGAAAAAUUGAUUUUUCUUCGGGUUUGUGCUUUAGUAUUUGAAGCAGCUUUGUCAUUGUACAAAGGAACGAUAUGUUCGUGUUUUUCCGACAUCAUCUUGCUUUUGAAAACAACAUGGAAAAAGUCCCAGUUUCCAUAUAUGUACAACACUUGAUGCCCCUGUGUACAAAACUAUGAUGAGACUUGUCUGAGAAAGCCUAGGCCUAAUUGUGUUCUAAGUAAAUGCUGAAGAAUUUUUGUAGCAAGCCUAAAUUUCACUUGUACUUAGGACAUGUUAAUUGCUAGCCCCGGACUCCCUUGCCUUCGUAUCCUAGGCCCCACAGCGGUCCAUUCAAAAAGUGGGGACUCUGCGAAAAUCCCAUCUAUGAAAUCCCAUUUGCGUAUAUGGAUCACUAACCCGGCAUGCCCGGGGUCUGGACAACUCAACCGUUUAGCAACUGGACUUCGGACAACUCGACCAUUGAGACAACUAGACUGUCUGUUUGUGUAAGGCAGAGACAAGACGUCUGUUGAGACAAGUUGUCCGUUGGGACACUCUUCGCUCAGCCCAGUCGUCUACUUAGGCCACGGUGUGAGAUAAUAUACAUGUACAUGAUGCACAUGUAUGCAUUUAUGAUGGGAUGGAAUUUCGUAUGUACUGUAGAUAUAGACAAGCCUAAUUUCUGAGGUACAUGUACUGGUAUUUAUAAAAAUGGUGGCUGUCGUUAGUCAAUCUGCGCAAUCAACCGAUCUUGCACCCGCGCUUCAAGUAUAUGGCCCGUAUGCAUUACAGUCGUUUUCCUAGUUCCGGAUCACUUGAAAUAAAAACCUACCUCCUUGGUGUUUUCCUUCAGUUCUACAUUGUCAGGCAGGUUCUGGUUUAAAGUGAAAUGUAAACUUCUUGUUGAACAAAACUUGCUUUCAGAAAGUUUUGGCCAGAAUUCUGAUCCGCACUUUGACGUUUUGGAACGGUAACUGGAAAACAAUGAAUAGUCUAGGGCAUUAUAUGUCACUCACUGUGAGAGAUCCCAAAUCCUUUUUUCAUAGUCAACAAUCAUAUAAACUCUUGUAUCUAAUGUCUGUUUAAUCAUGACUUUCAAAGUUGCAUUUUGUUUAAAAACUGAAUGCAUAUUGUUUCCUAGUUUUGGAUCAUGCAUUAAGUGCAUGCACGCAAUAUAAUGUGCAAGCUCAUCUCGCUAUACAGACGUUGCAGAAAUGUAGGUGAUGUACAUGUAAUGGGUUCGUCAAUGGAUGCAGCAUCGUUGAUGGCUCGCGCUGUGCUGCUCAAAAAGUUGAGUCAAAAUUUACAAAACAUCCGAUUUUUUUUAAUUCGUGUACAUUGUCCCUGGUACCUAUCAUCAACGCAUCAACAAUAGUUUCUCCAGUUGUCAGUGACCUCUAUACAUGACCAAUAUAAUUAACAUACAAUUUGUACUUGGAACCAGAUACAAAAACCGAUACCGCGUCGAUAGAUUGGUGCAAUCCGGUUCAUAAGUGACUUCGUUGUACCACUGAUCGCAAGCCCCUCAUUGGACAAUCAUGCCGGGUGGACGGUGACCACAUUUCACCGGAGUUCGAGGAUUUUUGUAGAGCUGCAAUCUGACUGAAUAAUUUCACGAUCUUGAACUGGGAAAACGACUGUAUUACGUGAAGAGAUCUCACUGGUCGAGUUGUCUUUCUGUCAAAGUCGAAGUCAAAGUCCGCAACUCGGAUUUCAUAGAAGUCAUUUUCGCCGAGUCCACACUUUUUGAAUGGACGGCUGUGGGGCUUAGGAUAACUGGCCCCCAGUCUGGGGCUAGUUAAUUGUAUUAUCAGUCAUGUCAGUGGUUAGCAUGGUUAGGCCUAGGCCAGGAAUAAAUUGGAAAAAGUACAGACAAGCGGCAAGAUUAGAUUUGUAACAGGUCACCACAAAAAAGUCAAGUGUUAGGCAGUUACGUAUAUGCAGCAAAAAUCGUCAAUGGGCAACCCUUAAACACCGUAGAUUCGCAACAUUUUAUUGUUCCAUUCAUAAAGAAAUUGCUGUCAACAGCCCAUAUUACAUGUAUAUCACCCAAUAGUCCGAGUGGCAUCAGUUCAACUCGGACCCAAACCAACUCGGAUCCAUGCCAACUCAGACCCAUAACCAAUUUUGAAGUUGGACCCACGACAACUUGGACCCAACCUGUGUCAACUCUGGCCCACCGAGCCUUAGAUUGCUCUGGAUAGUAAAUGAAAUGGGCAAAGCCUGACAGUGACAGCUCGAGCAGGGAGGCUUUCGGCAUGGAUCCCAAAAUAUUAGUGCUUCUAUAGAUUUUCCAGUUCUAAGAUGAUUUCUGCCCUCUUAACAAUUCUUUUAAGCAGUACCUGUACCCUGUACACUCUUAAAGAAUUUUGUCUGAGAUUAGUAAAGCAUUUUCACAUUCCAAUGGAAUUAAAACAUUGCUUAUUCGGGCAUCAGAAAAUAUCAUUUCAAUGAAGCCUACUUCUGACAAUUGUUGGUACAGUUAAUGUCCUAGUUUCUAAAAAGCUGUGGGAUCUCUCAAUCAUUCAAACGCAUUCAUGGUGCUUGCAUGUACUGUGUACAUGUACAGGGAUUUAACCAAGCACGUGGUACUGACUCACAAAAGGCGGCAAGUUCAUUUGGCAUCCCUUGACUGUGGCAGGGUUACAGAUCACCACUGCUGAGACCGAAGAGAAAAAACGCCUAAUUAGUCCUAAUCCAAUUAACAUGCAAUUUGAGAAGAAACAACUGCAGGGGUACAUCACCGAAUUACAUGUAUAAACAAUUUGAAAGAGGAAAUUUCUCUUCCCUUCCCUCAUGUGAGUACAUGUAAAUCCAAUCAUUGGAAUCUCCGAUUCUCACUUGAUCCUAAGCCGGGCGCAUUAGACAGUGUAAGGACUGUUUUGGAGGUGAAUUCCUGUGCUUUUCAUACGGGGUAUAACCGUAUAAGCAUUGUUUAGUAAAGUUUUAUCCAGUUAUAUAGAAACUCUUUCCAAGCAAUACACUUAACAAUGCUUUUUUUUGGCUAAUUCUGCAACUAGUAACAUGUCUAUUAUGAUUUACUAUUUAGUUCAUACAGUCAUGACCAUGAUGACAAUAAUUGCUUUUAGUAUUGCUAUCAGCAUGAUCAGUUGUACAUGUAUGUUUCCUUUCAACAAUAAAAAACAGGCUAAGGCCUUCACAUCCUUGAUUGCGUAGUUGCCAGGUUUUCUCUUUUGUCAAGUCUGAUUGGUUUUUACAGUCAGCAGGUUAGUGGCGUGAAUAAGGGACCUGGCGACUAUAAUGCCAUCCAUUAGACCCGUAAACAGGGCCUUUUUGAUGUGUAUACUCCUGUCUCGAUACUGGGGGCUAGGAUAACUCGACUGAGCAUUGUCCAUGUUGUUUGCCAACUCGACUCAGGACAUCUCGAUCAUUGACCAGUGGGACAAUUCGACCUUCUGUGCCUCAAACAUGUCAAAUGGACAGACAACUCGACUGUAGGGACACAUUGUCCAUUGAGACAAGUUGACUCGUAAUGAAUGCGCUUAUGCUGUACAGUUGCAUUGCCCACACCUUUACUCAAAAGUUUAAAAAAGGACUGGGGGACCACACCAGCAGACUAGCAACUGAUCAUCAGGAGACAACUGUGCAUAGCGGACAAUGCGCCACAUUGCCGUUGCGACCACACACCGCACGCUGGUUUAGCGGCCAAUGCACUGUUCACCAGUACUGUUCAUGCUGCAUCACUGGGUCCCUAUGCGUGCCAUGCCCGGUGAUUCGAGUCACAAUGUAAUGCGACACAUACAAAUUUGCAAUCUGUGUUAAAUGCCCCAAACCUCAUCCUUCAUGUCAUGCAUGUUUUCGCCUUGCAUGGUUCAGUUGUCUUAACGGAAGACUUGAUAAAGAGUCGAGUUGUCCCACUGGUUGAGUUGUCUCAACGUCAAGUUGUUCCGAGUCGAGUUUAUAAAUGGUCAAGUUGUCUGACAACCGAUACUGGGCCUGGCUUGGGAUAUGAGCCCCGAGAUGGACCAAGAGAAGAAGCAAUUUUCUCAGCAACGAAGGCUCCUUUGGUCAGAACUGCACUUCACUGGUUCACAAGCGAAAUGAACACUCUUGGUUCCUUUCAACCAAUGAGGGGGUGCUUUUGCUCAAGACAGGUGGGAAGUGCAGGUGACGUUUUUCUGACAUCUACCAGGUUUUGUGAACUGAAAUUUUGCCAGGAUGCUCACAACUUGCCCCUUUGUUUGAAAUAGAGAAAGUAAAAAAGUGUGCUGAUUGCAGUUUGAAUGGGGUGCAAACAAGAUACAAAU